AUUAGCGACCAAAGCAGAGGGGGUACACCUGUUCCCAUUCCGAACACAGAAGUUAAGCCCUCUAGCGAUUUGGACAGUACUGACUUUGUCGGGAAAUCCAAGACGUUGCUAAUC
rnacentral:rRNA from 1 species